AGCGAACGCUGGCGGCAGGCUUAACACAUGCAAGUCGAGCGGGCAUAGCAAUAUGUCAGCGGCAGACGGGUGAGUAACGCGUGGGAACGUACCUUUUGGUUCGGAACAACACAGGGAAACUUGUGCUAAUACCGGAUAAGCCCUUACGGGGAAAGAUUUAUCGCCGAAAGAUCGGCCCGCGUCUGAUUAGCUAGUUGGUGAGGUAAUGGCUCACCAAGGCGACGAUCAGUAGCUGGUCUGAGAGGAUGAUCAGCCACAUUGGGACUGAGACACGGCCCAAACUCCUACGGGAGGCAGCAGUGGGGAAUAUUGGACAAUGGGCGCAAGCCUGAUCCAGCCAUGCCGCGUGAGUGAUGAAGGCCCUAGGGUUGUAAAGCUCUUUUGUGCGGGAAGAUAAUGACGGUACCCAAAGAAGAAGCACCGGCUAACUUCGUGCCAGCCGCCGCCGUAA
rnacentral:rRNA from 1 species